UACGGAGGGUGCAAACGUUGCUCGGAAUCAUUGGGCGUAAAGCGCACGUAGGCGGUCCAGCAAGUCGGGUGUGAAAGCCCUCGGCUUAACCGUGGAAGUGCAUUCGAAACUACUGGACUUGAAUACUGAAGAGGAUCGCGGAAUUCACGGUGUAGAGGUGAAAUUCGUAGAUAUCGGGAGGAACACCAGUGGCGAAGGCGGCGAUCUGGGCAGAUAUUGACGCUGAGGUGCGAAAGCGUGGGGAGCAAACAGG
rnacentral:rRNA from 1 species